CAGAGUGCAGGGUCAGCCAUGUUACAGCACCCCUGGAGCAGAUAGGAUCAAGGGCCUUGCUCAAGGGCCCAACAGUGGCAUUUUGGCAGUGCUGGGGCUUGAACCCCCAACCUUCUGAUCAGUAAUCCUGAGCCUUAACCACUGAGCCACAGUUCUUUAUGUAGGGCAUUAGGGGUUCUUUGGAGUCCUGGCACCUCAACCGACAGCAACACCGAAUGUGUCACCACAGACAGAUGCUGUUGGACCCCACAAUUACCUGCAGAGAGGGGCUGCCACUCAAAUACACCAAAAUACACAGUGAUGGAUGGUGAAGACAUCAUAGAGGAUUGUGCACUUAUUUUAGUGAAGGCUUCAGUUUAGUUUAGCCUUUGUAGCAGGCUCCUCCAAUAAAGACCCAUGAACUAGCAGUUGGACUCCAUCCUUUGUUGGUUGGACACAACAACACAGAGAGGUAGCCGUGACGAUGGUGGCCCGAGACCGGUUACACCUUCAUCACAUCUAUUCUGUGUUUCCAUGGGACUUUGCUCUUCCAUAAAAGAUUUGUUGUCAGUAUGGAAGAAAAAUACUCUCUAAAUAACAGAUAAAAGAAUGUACAAGUUUCUGUCCCAGCCUAAAUGUAUGG